rnacentral:pre_miRNA from 1 species
UGUACACCGUAACAGCAAUAUUGUACAAUGACCAGUAUUGCUGUUAUGGUGUGCAAU